UACGGGGGGGGCAAGCGUUGUUCGGAAUUACUGGGCGUAAAGGGCUCGUAGGCGGCCAACUAAGUCGGAUGUGAAAUCCCCAGGCUCAACUUGGGAACUGCAUCCGAUACUGGAUGGCUUGAAUUCGGGAGAGGGAUGCAGAAUUCCAGGUGUAGCGGUGAAAUGCGUAGAUAUCUGGAGGAAUACCGGUGGCGAAGGCGGCAUCCUGGACCGACACUGACGCUGAGGAGCGAAAGCUAGGGGAGCAAACGGG
rnacentral:rRNA from 1 species